rnacentral:rRNA from 1 species
AUUGAACGCUGGCGGCAUGCCUUACACAUGCAAGUCGAACGGCAGCACGGGUGCUUGCACCUGGUGGCGAGUGGCGAACGGGUGAGUAAUAUAUCGGAACGUACCUUAUUGUGGGGGAUAACGCAGCGAAAGCUGUGCUAAUACCGCAUAAUCCCUUAGGGGGAAAGCGGGGGACCGUAAGGCCUCGCGCAAUUAGAGCGGCCGAUACCUGAUUAGCUAGUUGGUGAGGUAAAGGCUCACCAAGGCAACGAUCAGUAGCUGGUCUGAGAGGACGAUCAGCCACACUGGGACUGAGACACGGCCCAGACUCCUACGGGAGGCAGCAGUGGGGAAUUUUGGACAAUGGGGGGCAACCCUGAUCCAGCAAUGCCGCGUGAGUGAAGAAGGCCUUCGGGUUGUAAAGCUCUUUGUCUAGGGAAGAAACACCGGCUCUAACACAGUCCGGAAUGACGGUACCUGAAGAAUAAGCACCGGCUAAC